rnacentral:rRNA from 1 species
GACGAACGCUGGCGGCGCGCCUAAUACAUCCAAGUCGACCGCAGCGGCGGAUGGGUGAGUCAAGCGUGGGUAACCUGCCCUUAAGUCUGGGAUACCAUUCGGACACAGAUGCCAAUACCGGAUACUAAAGGACGGCCCUGCGAUGCAUUAGCUAGUUGGUAAGGUAACGGCUUACCAUGCCGAUGAUGCAUAGCCGGGUUGAGAGACUGAUCGGCCACAUUGUGACUGGGACACGGCCCAAACUCCUACGGGGGGCAGCAGUAGGGAAUCUUCCACAAUGGACGAAAGUCUGAUGGAGCAACGCCGCGUGAGUGAAGAAGGUUUUCGGAUCGUAAAGCUCUGUUGUUGGUGAAACGGUAAUCAACCAGAAAGUCACGGCUAACUACGUGCCAGCAGCCGCGGUAAUAC